GUAGGGAAUAUUGGGCAAUGGUCGGAAGACUGACCCAGCCAUGCCGCGUGCAGGAAGACGGCCCUCUGGGUUGUAAACUGCUUUUAUCUGGGAAGAAAAAGGCCAUGCGUGGCAAAUUGCCGGUACCAGAUGAAUAAGCACCGGCUAACUCCGUGCCAGCAGCCGCGGUAAUACGGAGGGUGCGAGCGUUGUCCGGAUUUAUUGGGUUUAAAGGGUGCGUAGGCGGCUGAUUAAGUCAGCGGUGAAAGACUUCGGCUUAACCGGAGCAGUGCCGGUGAUACUGGUUGGCUUGAGUGUCGGAGGGGUACAUGGAAUUGAUGGUGUAGCGGUGAAAUGCAUAGAUACCAUCAGGAACACCGAUAGCGAAGGCAUUGUACUGGCCGACAACUGACGCUGAUGCACGAAAGUGUGGGGAUCGAACAGGAUUAGAAACCCUUGUAGUCC
rnacentral:rRNA from 1 species